AAAAUCAGUCAGUGGAAUUUUUCCAAACGGCAUUGAACGCACCAUCCACCGUCACGUGACUAACGUCAGCUGAUCAGCUGAAGGCGGAACUAGAAGAAAACAUGGUGGAUGUCCUGAAUAGAAUACCCGACACAGACUGUAUCAGACUGUGUCACAGGGUGGUGGAUGGCCUGUGUGGGCGGGAACCUCCUCAUCGGGGGGAUUACAACGUCACAUGGAGCCUGCAGGAGUGGCUGCAGCUGCUCGAUUCCCUGACGGCCAUUUUCCGCCUGGCAGCCAGCGGCAACAUCUCAGAUGAGGAGGUUCUGGUCCAGUUGUCGGAGGCGGGAAGCAGCCAGGCCGAGGCGGUUCUGACUGUUUUGAGAGCCCGACAUGAAGAGAUCCACCGAGCUCUGCUGGACAGAACCAACGGCAUCUCCUCCGCUAACCUGCAGGACUUUGACUGGCAGCUGAAGCUUGCUCUGUCCAGCGAUAAGAUCUCGUCUCUCAACACCCCGCUGCUCAGCGUCAAUCUGGAUGUGAGGGAGAAUGGAGGCCUCCGGCUCGUCACCAUGGAGAUGAACAGAGACGAACUGAGCAUGCUCAUCGCUUCACUGGAGGCUGCUAAUAAGGUGGUGCUGCAGCUGAAAUGAUGGCGCUCCGACCCUCCCACCAGAUCAAAAGGAGGAUGAUGAUGAUGAUGGUUGAACGUGACCUGGAGGUGAGGACCACGGCCGAAGAAGAUGUAGUUGACAAAGGCGUAUUCCAGCAAGGCCAGAAAGACAAA